UUCUCCUGGAAACGGGUGGUAAUGCCGGAUGCUCCAGUCCAUCGCAUGGUGGUCUGGGAAAGAUUUCAUCGGUAUGGGAUGGGGUCGCGUCCUAUCAGGUAGUCGGCGGGGUAACGGCCCACCGAGCCUACGACGGGUAGCCGGCCUGAGAGGGCGACCGGCCACAUUGGGACUGAGAUACGGCCCAGACUCCUACGGGAGGCAGCAGUGGGGAAUAUUGCACAAUGGGCGCAAGCCUGAUGCAGCGACGCCGCGUGCGGGAUGGAGGCCUUCGGGUUGUAAACCGCUUUUGUCGGGGAGCAAGCCUUCGGGUGAGUGUACCCUUCGAAUAAGCACCGGCUAACUACGUGCCAGCAGCCGCGGUAAUACGUAGGGUGCAAGCGUUAUCCGGAAUUAUUGGGCGUAAAGAGCUCGUAGGCGGUUCGUCGCGUCCGGUGUGAAAGUCCAUCGCUUAACGGUGGAUCUGCGCCGGGUACGGGCGGGCUGGAGUGCGGUAGGGGAGACUGGAAUUCCCGGUGUAACGGUGGAAUGUGUAGAUAUC
rnacentral:rRNA from 1 species